CGUAGGGUGCGAGCGUUAAUCGGAAUUACUGGGCGUAAAGCGUGCGCAGGCGGUUUGUCAAGAUAGGCGUGAGAUCCCCGGGCUCAACCUGGGAACUGCGCUUAUGACUGGCAAGCUAGAGUACGGCAGAGGGGGGUGGAAUUCCACGUGUAGCAGUGAAAUGCGUAGAGAUGUGGAGGAACACCAAUGGCGAAGGCAGCCCCCUGGGUCGAUACUGACGCUCAUGCACGAAAGCGUGGGUAGCAAACAGGAUUAGAUACCCUGGUAGUCCACGCCCUAAACGAUGUCAACUAGGUGUUGGGAGGGUAAAACCUUUUAGUACCGGAGCUAACGCGUGAAGUUGACCGCCUGGGGAGUACGGCCGCAAGGUUA
rnacentral:rRNA from 1 species